rnacentral:rRNA from 1 species
GCCUACGGGGGGCAGCAGUAGGGAAUUUUCGUCAAUGGGCGCAAGCCUGAACGAGCAAUGCCGCGUGAACGAGGAAGGUCUUCGGAUCGUAAAGUUCUGUUGAAGGGGAAAAAGAGCGGAGAGAGGAAAUGGUCUCCGAUUGAUAUUACCCUUCGAGGAAGUCACGGCUAACUACGUGCCAGCAGCCGCGGUAAUACGUAGGUGGCGAGCGUUAUCCGGAUUUAUUGGGUUUAAAGGGUGCGCAGGCGGAUUUUUAAGUCAGCGGUCAAAUCGUGGGGCUCAACCCCAUCCAGCCGUUGAAACUG